UUUGAAUGGGGUAAAUUUCACUGACCUUUCUUAAUGUUUCUGACAAAUACAGUCAACUUCCUUGUGAUUUUAGAAAUAUCAGUUAUCUUUACUUUUGAAACUAUUAUCAACGUCUCCGUGCACUCAAGUUGAACUGGUUGUCAUUAACUUUAUUGCAAAAAUGACAAAAGUGUCAUUAUAUAUAGGGUUUUUCUUUUUCUUUUCAAUACACUAAUUAAAGUAAUAAGCUCUCUAUUUUCUCCUCAGAAUAUCUUAAUUUAUUCAUAAACUAUUAUACUUUGCUUUUUUAUUAAUAUGUAAUUAUUUUUUAAAAAAAGUGAUCUAAAUUUUUCUUUUUAAGUGCCCCAAUCUAACUACUUAAAAAAAAGAACUCCGUUAUCAAUUUACUGAAAUCAUUACAAGUAAGAUUUUUUUUAUCUAAAAAUAUUAUAAACAACCAAAUUGGAAUUGAUCGGAAAAAAAAAAGAGAAAAUAAACCAAAUUUAACCAAAUCAAGCCUUUGUCACAAUCAAGUGGGGUCGGCUACAUGAAUAUUUUUAUGCUAUUGAGCUCGAUCAAGAGCCAAAUGUUCAUCGACAUUCAAUACUAUUAUAUUCUUUUUUACUACUGCAUCUUAAGUUAACUUCAGUUUACCCCUUCCCUAGUGUUGUUACUAUAUAUAAUCAUAUCAGUUUUUUUUACUACCGCAUCAGUUGGCCCACGACUUAUGUAUCGAACCACCUAAUAUUCAAAGUUAACAAAUGACAGAAUGUUGAAUCCCAUGUUCAUUUUAUGAAACCUAAUUAAGAGCUGCUAGUUGAAAAAUUACACAAUUAGUGAUCUCCAUAUUUGGUAUUUUUUUAGCCCGUCAUAAUUCUUGCCAAAGCAAUAGAGACAGGUUUGAUUAUUAUGCAAACUUUUGUGACCCGUACUUGUCCAAUUACUUGAAGAUAUUUCUCUAUAAACCCCAUCAUCAUAUAUAAGUUCUUGAUUUUUGAAGCAAAAAGAAAAAAAAAAUCGUUGAAUUCGAACAAUGGGAGAUAACUAUUUGGUAAAACCUCAUUGUUAAAAGUGGGCUUCGUUGUUGGUUAAUUACGAGAUUAAUCAUAAUGUAUGACCAUCAAUUUUGGUGCAAGGCUAAAUAACAUUUGAACAAGGCUAUUGGGAUCACAAUAUUUUUGGGGCAUCUUAUUUAUUUACCCUUACAUCCCAAAACGUUUAGACCAAUUAAUAGACUCACAUGGGAACUAUAUAAUCCUAAACCGUUAUCUUUCGCUGUCUGUUCACAUCAGAAUAAUAAAUAAAAAUGUACAUUGAUAACAUUUGAUGGAGUAGUUGUGAUGGAAAAGAGUCAAGUGUACACCGGCAACGGGGGAGUGAUCCUACUCUCGCUCCUAACUCUAUGGGAAUUGGCACUUAGGAGAUGGGUACCUGAGUGCCUCGAAGUUUCUCCAUUUGAAGAACUUGAAAGUCUCGACUUACAUAGAAUUCAUUAGUGAUUUGGCUUUCCAAACGAAGAUUUUGUGAUCCUCUGAUAUAGAAAACAAUCUAGUGCAUUGCAAUGAUGUUUGCUUCGAAGAAUAUUCUAGAAGUUACGUUGUGACUCUAAAGACUCUAACGUCUAAGUAUAAUCAGUUUAUAUUAAAAAAUUCAUCUCGAGGUGAUUUUUAACUCUUCUCGUUUGCAAUUAUUUUAUUAAGGGAAAGGAAAAUGGAUAGAACAACCAAAUAACAAAUAUCUUUUUACAAUCAUCUUUCAUCAUUUUUAUUCCAACAAAUUUUGAUAAUAUAUACAUGGCCAUAUUCCUGGUUUCCAGCUAACUCUCAUUUUUUUUUGACUUUGGAGCAGAAUUUAGAAUUAUUUGCCAAACUUGCAGGAGCUAGUAUGAGUUUCAAAUACAAAUCCGGCAUUGAUGGCUUUCAAUAACUCCCUCAGGUUAUAUGAUAACAAUACCAUUCGUCUCUGAUUACCAAAUAUAGUCAUAAAUUGACCUGCUCUUGUUUGUUUAGUGUUUUUUGGGUAUGGUCAGAGUCCCAAAAAGAGAAUUUUUGGUGCAUAUCUCCCUGAAAGAUUCCAGGUACCAUUAACUCCAAUCGCUUUUAAAUAAAAGCGUUCUAACUACCUUUGGUUUUUUUACGACGGGAACUUCUAAUGCAAACCAUUUUUUGCUCAGGACAACCCCAAAACGUGGGUUUUUUUUACUUACAAUUUUAUCCCUAUAUGAACUCAACUUGGACAACACAGGCGCCCUAAAAUUCAAAUAACUCAAUUUCUUAUCCCAGGGCCGAAUUAGACCAAGCGUUUAACUCCACACCGGCUAUUCCUGAUAACCACCACUUCCGUUCACCGCCGCCAUACCACCUUACACCAUAUAGCACCAUAAAGGAUCCACACGGUUAAGAUUUUUAAUCGUUUUUCUUUAUAUUUUUUUUUUCUCAACAAUAUCUCCUUCAAUUCUUUAAUCCAAAUACGGCCCUAGGUCCCAUUGGGAUAUAUAUUAUUUUUCACACAAAGUAAUUAGCGUUAGCAUAAACAAAAAUAUAAGAAUUAGUUAUUGUGACUGUGAAAAUCGCGGUGGAACAAAGAUUAAAGUACAGAGAGAUAUUUUUGUAAAACUACAAAUCUAAUAGCAUGAAGAUUGCUAAUCACUAUACCGUUAUUUUUGGAUUAGAUUUAGCUUUUCUUCUCUUUUUUUUUUCUUUUGCCCUCAUCAAAUCCUUAAUCAAGCACCAUCCUUAUUAAACUAGUCAUUCCAAAUUUCAAUCAUAAAAUCAACGUUCAAGAACCAAUAUAUAAACUAAUCCAUAUCUAAGUGUACUAAAACUAUUUAUAUUGAAUAAUUUAUGUACAGGGGGGUUUCCGCGUUUAAUUUUGAAAUCUACCUCUUAUCAAAUGAAGCCUUAAUUUGACUUGAAAUGAAAUUAAUUUCGCAGGAUUUUGAAACGCUUGUCACUGUGGGUUGCCAAGUUGGAGGUUCUAAUGGAGGGGCAACUUAUUGGAUAAUAGCAUCUGUAUCCAUUUCUUUCUUGGUGUGCUUUCAUCACUGAAGACUUUGUCCCUACGUGGCAACUUUUUGAACGGAUCAAUCAACACAGUAGUAAAGUCCAGUAUAAAGAAUGCUACCCGAAACAAUCUAUUUUCCAUUAGUUGUAGACAAUUGCACAUACUGCAUGUUUCCUCUUCCGAUAAAAUAAACGUAAGAACUACUUAGCUCAAUGCUUUACCUUAAGUGUGUGGGAUCACAUAUCAAGGAAUUUUAUGUCAUUCACUUGUAUUUUGGAAAUAUUUUCUUGUCCAAAUUCGAAAACGCUAGGAUUUCUUUGCUUUGACGCUCCAUUAUAUUUUUGAAUGGGGUAAAUUUCACUGAUCUUCCUUAAUGUUUCUGACAAUACAGUCCACUCUUGGUGGUUUCAGAAAUAUCAGUGAUCUUUACUUUUGAAACUAUUAUCAACGUCCUCCGUGCACUCACGUUGAACUAGUUUGUCGUAACUUUAUUGGGCAAAAAUUACAAAAGUGGUCAUUAUAUAUAGGUUUUCCUUUUUUUUUUUUCAAUACACUAAUUAAAGUAGAUAGAGCUUCUCUAUUUUUC
rnacentral:lncRNA from 1 species